UCGUGGUUAAAGGCCAGAUUUCUCAUAGUGGAUUUUAAUAUAUAUAGAGGCUACCUUGGGAAGUGUGCCACUAAAGGAAAAAAAAGAGAGGGUCUUCUUCUCCUUACACUUUCAGCUGUGCGAAGCAUCACCCUGGUUUUUUUUCUUCACUCCCCAUGGAAAUACCCCUUUAUCAACGAAAAAUAGACGCACGACGCUCAUCCCGCCAGUUUCCGCUGUACUCUACCCGUCGUAGGUCAUUCGCCGCAGUCUACAGGUGGUCCGUCAGAUGCCCACCGCUCAUUCACGCCCGAGCAUAGCAGUUAGCCCCGCAAGCCACGCUACAAGUUCGUACGUCCGUCCGCACACCUUGUCCAGCCGCCACCGCUCUCCCGGCCCUAUUCGCCACCAUCGUGGGUUGUCACUGCCAACACUAGAGGUCGCUGGAAUCUUGAGAUUUUGGUUUUUCAAUCGAAGUUCUGAUGUAUCAAGGAUCAUUGUUUAGCAACACAAGAACCCGAUUGAUGACUUUUUGUGAGUCUCGAUUCUUGUUCUUUAAGGAUUUUGGUUUAUCAAUGGAUAGUGGGCCUAACUUUUGGUUAAAUCUUGAUUGUGGACGAUUAAUUUGGGUUUUCAAAGAGGUUUGAAGUUGCCAUCCAACAUUAUUAAAAGCAUUUUGACGUGUUUUGGUAAGUGUGUUAAGCCUUGGAACUCUUGAUUUAAAUAUGGUAUGUUGGAAUUUGAGGAUCUAACUAUUAUUAUUGAAUUUGCUUAGAUUGGAACUUUUGUUUGGGAGUUUGGAAGUGAAUUCAAAUUUAACCACACUUUGGAUAAAAGGGGCUUUAGAUUAUUAUUUUGCUUAGGCUUAAAUCUAAGGUAAGUGAUUUACUACCGGUUCCCCCUCAAACCCCAAGUAGAUAUUAAGAUUGUAAGUACACUGAAAGUAUGUCUCCAUUAUGAUGGAAUGUUCUACCAUGAUUGACUGAUAGAUGACUGUUGAGAUUGUUCUGAAAACUCAUGAGAUAUGUUACUAUGGUUAUUAUAUUAUGUUAUGGCUUGAUAUGAACUUGGACGAUGUAUGUUGCAUAGACUGAUAGUGGUUGUUAGCACUCCUAUCAGACUGUGUUCAUCUCCUGGUAUGUUUUAGCAUCCUUAUGGGAUUUCCACCUAUGAUUAUGUUAUUGUGUUUGUUUGAAAUCACUUCCUAUGAAAGCAUACUUUUAGGUUUACCCCUUAUACCUACGGCUACACCUAUGCCUAUGUUCGGGAUGUACACCUUUGUCUUGAUAGGAAGGCUAUAUGUACACCUAGUGGGCCUAAUGGUAGGUCACUUACUAUAUUCUUAUACUCACUCUUUUCUCUAUAUUUUUUUUGGUAAAGAAAAUGAUAGAAUGGCGAAUGACAAGAAGAAUCCGUGACCAGGCCUUGAGAAUUGACAGCGUUUCUGCUUAUGUUUUUCUUAUAUUUGCAAGUUUUAGCUUUGUAAUUGAAUCUUUAAAUUCUUUGAAUAUUUCAUUCGUUUUUUUAUUUAAUUUGUUUUUAUUUAAA